CGUCAGUUUCCCUCCUCCAGCUCCGCCCCUCUUUCGUUAGAUUAGCUGGGUGUCUGAGCCGCGGCUGCUAGAGGGCGGCCGGCGCUGCGAGCCCUGUAACCCAGCCGGCGGUCAGCCAGAUGAGAUGCUGAUUGGCAGCCUUGGAUGCCACGGAAAUGGGAAGGCUGAUAGAUUGCACCGGGGCAAAUUGCACUUCUGUGUGAAUCCCAAAGGCUGAAAUGAAGCCACGUGAGAUCUCGACACGCAGUCACCAACGUGCCCGAUGAUUUGUGACUUUUGAUUUUCAAAAAAUGCUCUUGUGGUAUCACCAAUAGGACUUGCUGGCAAGAAGAAAUAGAAAAAAAAAAGAGGAGAGGGGGAGGGGAACCCACUGAAAUCCUAAUCAGUAGAAUGCUUCAAAAUCUGACUUUUAAAACGCACACGCACAGUCAAACAUGCCAGAGAAUCUGCCAGUCAUUAUGAUGAGAGACUGAGCCACUUUCCUAAUGCAGCUCUUUUGGAAAAAGAAAAUGUUAUGUAACAAUGUAAAAGUCUUUAAUUUUAUGAUUCAUUUGUGUGGGGGUUAAAUAGGUAGUGCCAUUACUUGAGAAUAACAAUUGAACUACUGAAAAGUUUGACAGUUUGUGACAGUGUUUGAAUGAGUCUAUUGGGGAGCAAAGGGGAAUGUCAAAGAAAAGAUCGUGAAUUUGGCAGCAUUCAACGGUUCUGUGUAGGGGCCUCUGUCAAAAUAGAUGCCAUUGUGGGGAGACAGCUUUUGACUAUCUGGAUUGUCUUAUAAUGUUUUAAUCUCUUCGGGGUGUAAGCUCUGAGACUAGAGACUGUCUCCAGCAUGUUCUAAGAAUCACCUGCCCUCAAGAAAUUUGAUUGUUAACUCCUAAUAAAUAUACAAAAUUUAUAUCACAA